GAUUGAAAACGCCACCUUGUACCACCAAACUGCCUGCCUCACAUCACUUCAAAAAUAAUUCUUCUAUAUAGACACUCUCUUUGAAUUAUUUAGAUCACUAAUCCCAUCCAAUCCAGUCAGCAACUGCAAGCCACAGUGUGGAUGAGAUGAUGAGAACAAAGAACAAAAACAGACAUCAGAGCCCUCUGCUGAACAUGGCAGAGCAACAAGAGGGAAAGAGCCUGGGACUGCGUAUUUAUAAGUUUUAUGUCCAGCCCUGGAGAUACUUGGAUUCA